UGCUAUGAUGUUGUAAUUGUCUAAUGCUGUGCACAAUGGCAGUUGCCUUCUGUUAUUACACUGGUGCAGACAUAUGAUGGUCAUUUGGAUCUGAGCA